GAGUGAACGCUGGCGGUAGGCCUACCCCAUGCAAGUCGAACGGCAGCACAGUAAGAGCUUGCUCUUACGGGUGGCGAGUGGCGGACGGGUGAGGAAUACAUCGGAAUCUACUUUUUCGUGGGGGAUAACGUAGGGAAACUUACGCUAAUACCGCAUACGACCUACGGGUGAAAGCAGGGGAUCUUCGGACCUUGCGCGAUUGAAUGAGCCGAUGUCGGAUUAGCUAGUUGGCGGGGUAAAGGCCCACCAAGGCGACGAUCCGUAGCUGGUCUGAGAGGAUGAUCAGCCACACUGGAACUGAGACACGGUCCAGACUCCUACGGGAGGCAGCAGUGGGGAAUAUUGGACAAUGGGCGCAAGCCUGAUCCAGCCAUACCGCGUGGGUGAAGAAGGCCUUCGGGUUGUAAAGCCCUUUUGUUGGGAAAGAAAAGCAGCAGGUUAAUACCCCGCUGUUCUGACGGUACCCAAAGAAUAAGCACCGGCUAACUUCGUG
rnacentral:rRNA from 1 species